rnacentral:lncRNA from 1 species
CCACAGUGAUAUUCUAAUUUUCAUACUAAAAUCUGAUCUCUUUUAUUAUGCGCCUAAGACCCCUCUUAAAUAGACGCACAAAAGAAAUUUGGAUAAGGUUGAAAGCCUUAUCUGAUAAGGCUUAGGAAGGGGGCGUCCAACUCUUGGAUGCCUCCAUUAUUUUGUGCAUGUGAUACCUCACGGAAAAAAGGGUUUGGGGACGGUUUCUUCAUG